UGACGGGUAACUCAGUUGGUCAGAGUGCCGGCCUGUUAAGCCGGACGCCGCGGGUUCAAAUCCCGCCCCGUCAGCCA
rnacentral:tRNA from 1 species